rnacentral:rRNA from 1 species
GAUGAACGCUGGCGGCGUGCCUAAUACAUGCAAGUCGAGCGAACGGAUGAGAAGCUUGCUCCCCUGAUGUUAGCGGCGGAAGGGUGAGUAACACGUGGAUAACCUACCUAUAAGACUGGGAUAACGUCGGGAAACCGGAGCUAAAACCGGAUAAUAUUUUGAACCGCAUGGUUCAAAAGUGAAAGACGGUCUUGCUGUCACUUAUAGAUGGAUCCGCGCUGCAUUAGCUAGUUGGUAAGGUAACGGCUUACCAAGGCAACGAUGCAUAGCCGACCUGAGAGGGUGAUCGGCCACACUGGAACUGAGACACGGUCCAGACUCCUACGGGAGGCAGCAGUAGGGAAUCUUCCGCAAUGGGCGAAAGCCUGACGGAGCAACGCCGCGUGAGUGAUGAAGGUCUUCGGAUCGUAAAACUCUGUUAUUAGGGAAGAACAUAUGUGUAAGUAACUGUGCACAUCUUGACGGUACCUAAUCAGAAAGCCACGGCUAACUACGUG